AUCCAGCAUGUUUGAUUCUACCAUAUUUUUUGAAUUCAGAGUUCUGUUUACCAAACUGUCAUGGCAUUUUUAUUAAGUGAACCCGUUCCUCUGUUUCUAUAUACAUAAGGAACAUUGAUUCUAUUACAUUAAUACUUUAUUCAUUUGUAAUGUAUGAUGUUUUGGAUAUCAACGAUUCAACGCAGUCCUCACAAUGCAUCUUUCACAUUUAAAAUCAAAAUGAUAUUUAAAAAUGUAAAUUAUUUUUCACGAUAAAAUCAAAUGGUACUUGCGGGGGUGGGGGGCGACCUGCCAUGGAAAUUAUCCAUUGUGGUCUUCAGGUGGGAUUUGCGGGGGUGGGGGUUGACAUUUUUAAUUUUUUGGGGGGGGGGGUGCACAUGAUGCCAACAGGAAGGAGGGGCGGUUACGGCUGGACAAAAAUGUUGUUGAGCUGCCUCGAUGGCUCAUUAAAAAAUGCUCUGAUUGAACUCAAUUUUCUUAUAAAAUGAAAAUGAAUUGUUUUCGAGUGAUUUCGGCUUGCCUCGUUACCCUCGCCUUGAAGUUGGGUAUCAAACAAUUCAGGAGACUGAUAAAUAAGAUUAUCCAAUUUUGAAGAAAUCUCGAGAAGGUGGAGAAGCCAAAACACCCCUAGAGGCCCUAUUCCCUCGUAGUCUCUCCAGACGCCCGGAGGUUCAGAAGUUGGAUUCAACUCCAGGGCUCUGCACUGUUGUCCAGGACCAAUGUAUCAUAACAGCCCUCCAACUGCUCUUGUCCCGUGCCCAUGCCUUCAGUUCAGAGCUUUGCUGACUUCUCCCUUCAGCAAAAUGAGUCCUAUGGCUUGCUCUUCGUUCCCUCCGGUGAUGGCUGCUGUUUUUGGUAGAGGAGUCAAAACUCUUCUUGCAGUUGUAGAUAUGAGAUGCAUGCACAUUGGGUAACGACUGCCGUACAAGCCCUUAGGUGCAUGCGUGCAAGCGAGCCUUCUGAUCCGUUAGAUCAUGAUCCAACCAUAGAUGCAAACCGUAGUUUGUUACCUUUUUUUUAUAAAGCUGCGUGGGCUGGUGGUGGAAGGGUUUAAGUGUUAAAUGUAACAUACAAUUGGAUUAUAUGAUCUAACGGACCGCAAGGCUAGCUUGCAUGCUUGCAUCUAAGGUCUGCUUGCACAACAGUUGUUGCCUGCACAUUGUAGCCUGUUUGAGAUUCUGGGCUGAAGCACAUCAGAGAAAUGAUGCCAAAUGCAGGGGCAUGGCUAGGCUAGCCGCGAGGCAGGGCUGUCACUAGCAGGUUCCCACGGGGAGCUGGCUGCUGCAUGAUCUUAAGGGCUUGUUUGGCAGGGCUCUUUGAGCAGCUUCCUGGACAAGUCUAGGACGAGUUCUGCCAAGUAGUUUUCAAUUGAUUCUAUACUGAUUUUGUGAAGUGAUCUCUAAAAUGAGCUAGGCGCUAGGAGCUGAAAGUAGUGUCUCCUGAUUCACUGCACACAGAGUCACUAAACUAACUAUAAGCAUAAAGGUUAUCAUAGAGAAAAUAUUUCAGUCAGGGAAUCACUUCUCUUAGGCCUUGUUUGUUUCCCUUCAUUUUGAGGAAUUGGAAUCUAACCAAUGGAGUAGGCUAUUUUUUUAGAAUGUGACAUUCCACAACUUUCCAAAGUUUAUAUAUAAGCCUAUGUCAAAUUCAUAGGGUAAGAUAUGGAAAUUCAUUAUAUAGAUUUACAUGCUACUUUUCUAAUGUACAACUAUAUUGUCACACUCUUAUACUUGCUUCUCUAUAGCAUAAGUGUAGUGUAUAACUAUCUCUCUCAUAUGAUUUAUGAUAAUAUACAAAUAUAAAUAUAUUAACUUAAUUAGUUUGUGUCUAAAUUAUGAUUAUUAGAAUGUAAUUCAAUUCCAACGAAACAAAUGGGGCCUUAGAGAAUUAGCUUCCACGGUGAAUCUAGAGCAGGAGCUCUACCAAAUAGGUCCUAAAUCACUCUUUCAUCUUCCUCAUCUCCAGUCCCAAGGUUCAUGAGUUGGGUUUGACUGGUCCAUGUUAGACAACAAUAUUCAUUGCCUUGUAUAUAGGCGUGAUGCCUGGCUUCUUUAAGCAGCCGGCCAGCCUUGUAUAGCAGGUUAGGAUAGAGAGAGAUUUGGGGAAGAGUCCAGGAUGGUAAGGAUCAAUUAGGGUCCUUCUGUUUCCUUGUCUAGGAGGUUUCCUUUUACCUCCGGCUCUUCCCCUAUAUAUGUAACAGCACUCUUCUCUAUCAAUACACACACAAUUCCUGCAUUCUACUUUACUUACAUGGUAUCAGAGCCUAGUUUUUCUUCCUGCCGCUUCCGCUUCCAGUGCGCUGUUCUUCGGCGCUGCUCCAGCGCGCCUUCUCUUGGCGCUGCUCCAUGGCCGCUAUCACCUCAGGCAUCGAAUCCAAUCCCCUUGCUGUCCCACAAGAGGAUGAUGCCGUCCAAGACCGCGAGCGCCAAGCCCAGGUCGCUCGCGCCGUCGACGCCGAGCGAGAGGCCGCCGUCGCCCAGCAGGAACGCGACGCGACGGAUGCUCGCGUGCGUGCGGCCCUGGAACGUGUCGCCUCCCCCCAGUGACGACUCCUCCCAUGGAGAUCCCGACGGUGACAUCCAAGACGGUGGUGCCUCCAUCUGGACGCAGCACUGCUACAUCAUGAGGCUGCAACCCUGCUGAAUCUACAUGCCCAGGCAGUGGCUGUGCAGAACAUUUGCACCCUCACCCCGCUCCUCCUCGACGCCAACUCCACAUUCUACGCCCGAUGGUGCGAUACCUUCUCACCCUCACCAAGGUCUCCCUGGAAGGUCAUGUUCUCUCCGAUAUCACUGCAUAUACCUCCCCCGAUUUGGUUCGCAUGAACGCCGUCGUCCGUACUUGGAUCCUCAACACCAUCUCCGACGACCUCGCCGACGCUGUAUCCCAGCGCGGCGUCACAGAUCGCGUCCUGUGGCUCUCUAUCGAAUCACAAUUCCUAGGGAACCGCACCACCCGUGCUCUCUACGCCGACCAAGAGUUCCGCUCCUCCCAGGGCGACCUUCCUGUUGCCGAAUACUGCCGUCGCUACAAAAAGCUUGCCGAGGAUCUUCGCGACCUUGGCAAGCCCGUCUCCGAUAGAACGCUUGUCCUCAACAUCAUCCGAGGUCUUAACGAGCACUUCCUUGUGCUGGGUCUGCAUCUUCGUCGCACAUACCCCCUGCCCAGUUUCCUGCAGGUCCGCGACGAUCUUGCUCUUGAGGAGCUCACCAUGGCGAAGGCUCCACCUGCUGCUGCCCUUGCUGCGCUCACUGCACCUGGCAGCAUGGGCAGCACCACUUCUCCUGCGCCCUCCACCGGCACUCCUCGUCAUUCCCAGCAGCCGGCCACUCAGCUGCCGGCGCCCUCACAACCCUCUGGGGGAGGCUCCGGCGGCCGCUACAACUCCAACCAGCGCGGCAAGAGGGGCAAACGCAAUUGUGGUAGGCACUCCACCACCACCCGCGCCGACGCUGGACCUCCCACUGGCCAGGUGUCCCAAUACAGCUACUACAACCCAUCAGGGGCUAUCUACAUGUGGCUGGGUCAGCGACCACCUACCACGCCUCGUCCACCCCAUGGCGUGCCCUCGUCUCCACAGGCUCUGCUGGCCGGUCCCCCUAGUCAGUGGACCGUUCUUUGCCUAUGUUCGCACCCUCAAAUCAGACACUUUGUCCACCCUCACCACUUUCUUUGCCUAUGUUCGCACUCAGUUCGGAAUCACCAUUCAGGGUAUUCAGUUGGACAACGACCGUGAGUUCGACAACCUACGUGCCCGCACAUUUUUUCCUCGCACGACAUUCACCUUCGUAUGUCAUGCCCAGAAUGGCAAAGCCGAACGCAUCAUACGAUCCAUAAACAAUGUCGUUCGUUCCCUUCUUUUCCACGCUAGUGUUCCCCCGUCUUUUGGGCCGCAGCUCUAGGCACUGCCACCUAUCUCAUAAACAUCCUACCCACCAAAACCCUCAACCAUUCCACGCCUCACUUCUAUCUAUUUGGAAAACAUCCUUCAUAUGAGCACUCCGUGUUUUUGGUUGCACCUGUUAUCCCAACCUGUCAGCCACUGCCCCCCACAAACUUUCUCCCCGCUCCACCCUCUACGUUUUUCUCGGGUAUUCCCCUCACCACAAGGGCUACCUUUGUCUCGAUCGUCAAACCAAUCGCAUAAUCAUCUCACGCCACGUGGUCUUCGAUGAAGCCUCUUUUCUCUUCUCCAAGGCUUCUUCCCCUCCCAUGCGUGCUGCACUUGAUUUCCUAGACGACGUGCCUAACACGGUCUCAGUUCCCUUUGAACUGUCAUCGGUUUUUUCUUCUACAGGUACUGCUGCAACAAAGGACCGUUCACCUGGCGAACCACCUGUGGCUGUCCCGGACUACUCACCACAGUCUCUUGGACAGCCACGUGCGCUUCAGCAGGCUUCCUCACCUUCACCAGCAGCCUUGGCGUCUCCUGCUGCUGACCCAGCAGUUUCGAGGCUUCACGCUGCUAGACCGGCAGCCCUAGCGCUCCCUGAUGCUACAGGGACUCGCGUCGUGCAGCCGGUUGCCCCCAGGGCGAUCACCGUCGACCGUUUCGGAGGCCAGGUGUACUCUCGCCGUCGACCUCCUACUGCAGCGUCUCCCUCACCUGCAGCACAGGCGUCAGAUGCUGCUGGGCCUCCUGAUGAUCCAGGAACUACUCCAACUGUCCCUGUCGGCGCUGUUGUUGUCCCCCUGUGGUCAACCACCACCUUAUGACCACUCGGGGCAAGCGUGGCCUUCGGUUCCCAGCUCUUUUUGAAGCUUCAGCACUGUCUCCAAUUCCUCGCAGCUAUCGCGCUGCCUUGGCCGAUCCCCACUGGCGCGCUGCUAUGGAACAGGAGUAUGCAGCUCUGAUUGGAAACAACACCUGGGAUCUCGUUCCUCGGCCACCUCAUUCCAAUGUUGUGACAGACAAGUGGAUAUUCAAGCAUAAGUUCAACGCCGAUGGUUCUCUUGAACGGUAUAAGGCACGCUGGGUCCUUCGCGGGUUCACUCAACGCCCUGGCAUCGACUUCUCUGAGACUUUUAGUCCUAUGGUCAAACCUGCUAUAGUUCAGACAGUCCUCUCAUUGGCUCUCUCACGUGGUUGGCCUAUUCAUCAGUUGGAUGUCAAUAAUGCCUUUCUUCACGGCACGCUGUCCGAAACUGUCAUCUGUGCUCAGCCCACUGGUUUCGAAGACUCCACUCAUCCAGAUUAUGUAUGCCGUCUCAACCGCUCUCUUUAUGGACUCAAGCAAGCCCCUCGUGCAUGGUACAACAGAUUUGCUUCUCACCUUCUGCAGCUCGAUUUCAUUGAGGCCAAAACAGACACGUCCCUGUUUGUCUAUCACAAGGGUGCAAACAUGGCCUAUCUUCUGUAUGUGGAUGAUAUUGUGCUUAUUGCCUCCUCCCUGCCAACACUACGACGAAUCAUCAAUGCCCUCCAACAAGAAUUUCCUAUGAAGGAUCUUGGUAGACUUCACCAUUUCCUCGGCAUGCAUGUUCAGCACUCUACCUCAGGCAUCUAUCUGUCCCAAAAUCAGUACAUGAUUGAGAUUCUUGAACGAGCUGGUAUGAGUGAUUGCAAGCCAUGCACUACACCAUUUGAUGUGAACCCCAAGCUCCCCUCUGAUGGCGCUCCAGUUUCAAAUCCCACUGAUUACCGCAGUCUUGCAGGAGCUCUUCAGUACCUUACAUUCACCCGUCCAGACAUUGCGUAUGCUGUUCAGCAGGUUUGUCUCCACAUGCAUGAUCCACGGGAAUCACACUUGGCUGCCCUCAAACGCAUCCUACGAUACAUCAGAGGCACUUUGCAUUUGGGGCUGUUCCUUCGCCCAACUUCUCAAACUGAGUUGAUCGUUUACUCUGAUGCUGAUUGGGCGGGCUCCGUCCGGACACCCGCCGAUCCACAUCUGGCUAUGCUGUCUUCUUCGGCGACAACCUGGUCUUCCAAGCGCCAGAACAUGGUUUCUCGCUCCAGUGCUGAAGCAGAAUACCGUGCUGUUGCUAAUGCCGUUGCUGAAGCUACCUGGCUUCGACAGCUCUUGACUGAAUUGCAUGCUCCUCUGCCGAAGACGACCUUGGUAUAUUGUGACAACAUCAGUUCUGUCUACAUGUUCUCCAACCCCGUUCAGCAUCAGCGCACCAAACAUGUGGAGAUGGACAUUCACUUCGUUCGGGAACAUGUUGCUCUUGGCAAUGUCCGUGUCCUCCAUGUGCCGACAACUUCACAGUAUGCUGACGUCUUCACUAAGGGUCUGCCGUCUUCGGUGUUCACUGAUUUUCGGACCAGCCUCAACGUUCGCUCAACGGACGUAUUGACUACGGGGGGAUGUUAGACAGCAAUAUUCAUUGCCUUGUAUAUGGGCGUGAUGCCUGGCUUCUUUAAGCAGCCGGCCAGCCUUGUAUAGCAGGUUAGGAUAGAGAGAGAUUUGGGGAAGAGUCCAUGAUGGUAAGGAUCAAUUAGGGUCCUUCUGUUUCCUUGUCUAGAAGGUUUCCUUUCACCUCUUGCUCUUCCCCUAUAUAUGUAACAGCACUCUUCUCUAUCAAUACACACACAAUUCCUGCAUUCUACUUUACUUACAGUCCAGUUGCAUGCAUGCAGUAGUAGGUACAUCAACUCUUCACAUGCGAUACGAAAAACCAAACAAAGAUCGUAACCGCUCAUUCGAGCUCUGGUUAGUGUCAUCUGAUUCCAUUUCCAUUUUUGUGACUUAAACGUCACCAAACACCAUCUUAGCGGCCAAAGUUUUAGCAUUUAGAUUGCAUGGUUUCUAAGCAUAAUUUAUUCACUAACGCAGGACAUAAUUGUUAAGCUUAUGCAUUACAACACAAGCCAGUGUGUUUGGUUGUCCUGUAUAAGCAAGAUGUGUUUGGCUGCUAGGCGAAAUGGCCUUUAGCUGAGUUGGUUAGUUGGUCUUAGAAGCACUCAUGUUCUGAGUUCGAUUCCUCGUAGGAGCGAAUUUCAGACUGUGGUUAAAAAAUCACCUCGUCUGUCCCACGUCAAAGCAUAGGUCUAAGGCCCGGUCCCGGUCGUUUCUCACAUGGACUACAGUGCCGCUGUGUUGUAGGUUUGUCUCUUAUGUUCCAGUAAAGGUUUCAUGUUUUUAGUAGAGGUGGGGAAGGGGACAAUAUUUUAUUUUUGUAUGUCCAUUGGCUUGUGCAAAUCUGCAUUUCUCAGAAACACCAAAUGUGCCGUGCAAGGCUGCACAAGACUCUGGGCAACCAAACACAGGUUGGCUGCAUUGCACUAGCCUAGAUACAGGAUAAGAACGUUGUGACAGUGUUCAGCGCGCCUAACUAUUGCUACCGAUGCGGGAACAUGGCUGCGAUCCUCGAAAUUGGCGAGAACAUGGAUCAGAACUUCCUCCAAUUCGACCCAGCUCCGCGGCAGAUUGAGCCGGACAUGACGCGCAAGACCCCAGACUACUUUUUGUAAUCAGCAUGCUGGCUUUCUUUCAACUUGUCUACUGCAGCGCCAGCACCUGUAGAUCUCCUUAGAAAAUGGUGUUUCCUCUAGCCGCCUUGUACCCCCAUCAUUCUUUUGGUGUGGAGAUUUUAUUGCCGCUUCUCAGAACAUUGAGGUUGUUGAAAGUACAUGGCAUUGGGUCUUCCUUUUUUUUUGCCGUCUUGUAUCUCCAUUUUGUAUGAUUCUGAGACAAAAGAGAAGAGAAGCUGCAAUAGAAUUGUCUCGAAAUA